GAGACAUCGUGUCAGUAACAGCUUCGUUCUGCUGGGGUUAAACUAAUCAUCCUAAACCAAGUCAGUUACUCGAUACUUUGGUUCCCAUUGUUCCUUAUUUGUUGUGGAUACAUGUGUGCGUGCAAGAGCAUAGACCACACAAACACCCAUGUUUAUUGGGUUUAUAUCAUGCUGUAAUGUACCAUAGACAAAUUACAAGUAAACAUCUCAUCGAAACUGUGAA